rnacentral:rRNA from 1 species
CACUUUUUACCUGGUUAAUAUUGGCGAAGGUGCAAAUAAGUAAAAGGGAGAUUGUUAGGAGGUGGUAUAAGGGGUUUACUAGUGUUAAGGGUAUUUAGACAACCUACGCCUAGCCGUUUCCUCCUGUGUACCUGACACUAGAAAUUUGGGGCAUGGACAGGGAUUUGGUACCCCAUUACUCCCAGACGUAAAUUAGUGCCGGGGGACUACGGACACAUGUUUAAAACCCAAAGAACUUGGCGGUGGUGCAGAUCAAUCUAGGGGAGCAUGACGGUUAAUUCGAUGAUCCACGAAAAUCUUACCUCCUUUUGUUUUCAGCUUGUAUACCGUCGUUGUCAGUUCCUCCUGUGAGGGAGAAAUAGGGGACUCAGCCUAUAGGUUUAAAAAUAAAUUUUAUUGUACUAGACGACUUCAGAUAAACGUGCAGCUUAUGGGGAGGGCUUAGUUGUGCUACAAUUCUUUUAGAAGUACGGAGCUCAUAUAUUUCUCUUGAAGUGGAGGGGUUAAGGUGGACUUAGCAGUAAAAUAGGAAUUGAACAUCAGUUAUUGCAUCGCGU